GGAUGUAUACAUCAUUAUACACGAGGCUUUAAGUAGAGUUAAGGCAUUCCAUUUAGUAAAUUCAUCCAAUCAUGUCCGAUGGUUAAUCAAAUCAUACCUGUCCAAAAUCAAGAAAGUCAAUAAAGACAAUAUUUUUCAUACGUAAAUCCUAAUAUAGCUAAAAAUAGUCAACUACUGCAAUAGAGACAACUUAUGUAUUUUUUAUAUUUACCUACUUACAUGUGAUGAUCAAGGACGAAUGAAAUGACUAGUUGUCCGAAACCUACAAAAGAGAACACGGGUAAUGUCUCAGUCGAGGCCACUCCUAUGCUCAAGUUAGCGAUAGCAUUUAAGAAGAUAAACAUACAAAAAUUUAAUGCAUUAUUCCAUACCUUAAUAUUUGAAAGUGUUGAGAUUUAUAUUUGUUUACUUGGGCCGAGGCAUCCUAUUAGGGUGGUUCAUCGUGCUGGUCUUCGCAAAACCAAACAAGUGCAGAAAAAUCAAAACACCUUACAUAAAAAUAUAAAACAAAAUCAAAGUAUGACACAGAGUAUUCAUAGUAUUUGUAGGUCUACUAAAUUGUACAUGUUAACAUGAUAGAACCUGAAAAAAUAAACUAUUAGAUCCAUCAUGAUGACUCUGACACCUAUGAAAGCGGAACAAGUUAGAGCCCCCGGGCCUGUGACUAGUCGAGAGCAUUCCGAACUCAAGUUAAUUAUAGCCUACGAGAAUAUAUAUAUAGAGAGAGAGAAUGUAACGCAUGAUUUCACAACUUAACCCUCGGAGGUGUGGAUCCCUAUAUAAGAGGGUUUUACUUAAUGUUGCAUUUCAUGUGGUCCAUCCAAUCAAGUCCGAUGAUAGUCAUUCGCAUGCAAAAGCAAGCAAGCGAAUAAAGGCAAUGUUUCUCGUACACAAAUACAAUGUAAUGUAGUUAAAAGUAGUUUAAAAAACAACAAAAGCAGUCACAAUAUUUCACAGAUAAAUAUAAAACAUUUUAUAUAGUAAUUUAUACUUAAC
rnacentral:lncRNA from 1 species